rnacentral:rRNA from 1 species
AUUGAACGCUGGCGGCAUGCUUUACACAUGCAAGUCGAACGGGCUGGGGGCAACUCCAGUCAGUGGCGAACGGGUGAGUAAUACAUCGGAACGUACCUCGUAGUGGGGGAUAACUCGGCGAAAGCCGUGCUAAUACCGCAUAUGCUCUACGGAGGAAAGCAGGGGACCGCAAGGCCUUGUACUAUGGGAGCGGCUGAUGUCCGAUUAGCUAGUUGGUGAGGUAAGGCUCACCAAGGCGACGAUCGGUAGCUGGUCUGAGAGGAUGAUCAGCCACACUGGGACUGAGACACGGCCCAGACUCCUACGGGAGGCAGCAGUGGGGAAUUUUGGACAAUGGGGGCAACCCUGAUCCAGCCAUGCCGCGUGCGGGAAGAAGGCCU